UGGGGAAUAUUGGACAAUGGGCGAAAGCCUGAUCCAGCCAUGCCGCGUGUGUGAAGAAGGUCUUAGGAUCGUAAAGCACUUUAAGUUGGGAGGAAGGGCAGUAAAUUAAUACUUUGCUGUUUUGACGUUACCGACAGAAUAAGCACCGGCUAACUCUGUGCCAGCAGCCGCGGUAAUACAGAGGGUGCAAGCGUUAAUCGGAAUUACUGGGCGUAAAGCGCGCGUAGGUGGUUCGUUAAGUUGGAUGUGAAAUCCCCGGGCUCAACCUGGGAACUGCAUUCAAAACUGUCGAGCUAGAGUAUGGUAGAGGGUGGUGGAAUUUCCUGUGUAGCGGUGAAAUGCGUAGAUAUAGGAAGGAACACCAGUGGCGAAGGCGACCACCUGGACUGAUACUGACACUGAGGUGCGAAAGCGUGGGGAGCAAACAGGAUUAGAUACCCGAGUAGUCCCUGAGCGGGCUGGCAAGGCGCAU
rnacentral:rRNA from 1 species